UACAGAGGUCCCAAGCGUUGUUCGGAUUCAUUGGGCGUAAAGGGUGCGUAGGCGGCGCGCUAAGUCGGGUGUGAAAUUUCGGAGCUUAACUCCGAAACUGCAUUCGAUACUGCCGUGCUUGAGGACUGGAGAGGAGACUGGAAUUUACGGUGUAGCGGUGAAAUGCGUAGAUAUCGUAAGGAAGACCAGUGGCGAAGGCGGGUCUCUGGACAGUUCCUGGCGCUGAGGCACGAAGGCCAGGGGAGCAAACGGG
rnacentral:rRNA from 1 species